rfam:Hordeum vulgare subsp. vulgare, WGS project CAJW01000000 data, contig: morex_contig_39043
UUUAUACCCCUCCGUCCCAAAAUUCUUGUCUUAGAUUUGUCUUGGUAUUAAUGUAUCUAGUCAUGUUUUGGUAUUUAGAUACAUUCAUUUUCUAGACAAACAUAAGACAAAUAUUUUGGGACAGAGGGAGUACUAU